rnacentral:tRNA from 1 species
GGCGUCGGUGCGGCAGGCGUGGCCGUCGCCGCUGGCGGUGCCGAUGGCGCCGAUGCCGCGGGCUUGGCGGUCGCCGCCCCCGACGCAC